CAGCACCACAUCUGGUUCUGAGGUUUAGC
rnacentral:piRNA from 1 species